AGUAGAAUUGCUGGAUCAUAUGGUAAUUCUAUUUUAAGAGGAACCUCCAUACUCUUUUCCAUAGUGGCUGCACCAGUUUACAUUUCCACCAACUAU
rnacentral:pre_miRNA from 1 species